GAUUAAUUUAGUAUUAAUAUUUUAACCCGAAAUCAUGUGAUCUAAUUAUGAAUAGAGUGCGAGAGAUUAAUAUUUCUUAAAGGCUUGAACCAGUAUCUGUAGCAAAAGAUUUGGAUAAUUUGUGAUUAGGAGUGAUAGGCUUAUCGAACAUGACUACAGCUGGUUUUCGACGAAAUAUAUAUGAGUAUAGCAUUAAAUGUUUAAUUAUUCAUGUAAAGUGACUAGUGCAAUUGCGGGUUGUAUCAGGCAAUACUGCAUGUAUUAUAUCUUAGAAAGGAGUAAUGGUAAGACGUAGUUACAAUAGACUAAUUCUUUUCUAUCUAAAAUUGAGGAAGAAAAAGUUUAAUAAAUCUUAUGUUUAGUUUAAUAGUCAAACUAUAGGUGAGAAGGUCUAUAGUUUAAAGAGUAACAUCUCAGUUUACGAAUUAAAGGUUUAAAAAGUUAUUAAGUGACCAAGGUGCGGGUUUUUUCUUAUACAAGCAGUUGGUGUUCUUGAUAGCAGAAAUCCGUUAAUAAAUGCCCACAAGCUUAUUUCUAGAUUUGGUUUUAACACAUCGAAAAUUUAUAGAAGCUAAAUAAUUUCUAAAAUUGUAAAGAUUUAAUUUUAUUUAAAUUGGUAGUUGAAGAGCUAAUUUAACGGUGACACUAGCUUAAGAAAGUUCGUUUAGUUAUUUAGUAACAAUAUGCUAACAUGAGUAACGUAAAUGAUAUUGAUAAAAUUGUCAUCGCUGAAAGACUUAGGAUUAGGAUAUAAGGGAAUCCCUUAUUUUAAAAUUCGGUAAUUAAAUCAAAAAUGUAUAUAUAGUAGAUGAUAUUGAGGUCUUACGUUAAUUAUAGUAAAAUAGUUCUAAUUACUUGGGAAAGCUGACAUUAUGCAAGUUUAGGUUAGAGCAUAAUUAGGUUUUGCAUGUACAAGAAAACGUUACAUAAACCGUACUGUAAUCCAACACGGGUAGUCUGGAAGAAUAUUCUAAAGCGAGUAAAGUCAAGAAUGUUUAAGGAACUCUGCAAAAUCACUCUGCAACUUAGGAAGAAGGAGUAAUUAUUUAUUAAAAUAAGGUAAGUAAUUGGCACGAAGUGGGAGCAGCGACUGUUUAAUAAAAACACAAAACUCUGCAAAGUUUAUAAAAUGAAGAAUAGGGUUUGAUACCUGCCCGGCUCUGCUCUGCGAAAAGGAGAUGUUUAAAAAGCAUUGAAUAUAACCAUCAGAAAACGGCGGCUGUAACUCUGACGGUCCUAAGGUAGCGUAAUCCGUUGUCAGGUAAGUUCUGACUAGUAUGAAAGGUAUAACGCCUGCUCUACUGUCUUAAACAUUUUUUUAGUGAAAUUGAAUUUUUUGUGAAGAUGCAAAAUAAAUAAAACUUAGACGGAAAGACCCCGUACACCUUUACUAUAAUUUUUUAUUGUUAUUAAAGUUAUACUAUAAGAGAAUAGGUAGGAAUUAUUUAAUGGAAUUGGAAUACUACCUUGUAUAUAUUUUAAAACUAAUAUCAGGAAAAUUUUUUACUUAUUAAAUAUGAAUUAUUGGUAGUUUGACUGGGGCGGUCAUCUUCUAAAAAGUAACGAGGGUGAACAAAAAUUAGUUUAAUUUUCAUUUCAAGUUUGUUAGUUAUUAACUGAAUUAAAGGCAUAAGCUAAUUUGACUAUAUAAUUGACAAAUUAUAUCGGGAUAUUGCUAUUUUUAUAGAUAAAUAUCAGUCUUAAAGACCUGGUACUUUUGUGUGGAAAGAGUAUCAAUCAACGGAUAAAAGGUACGUUGGGGAUAACAGGUUUAUUUUGCGAAAAAGUUCUUAUUGGACGCAAAGAUUGACACCUCGAUGUCGGUUCGUCGCAUCCUUCAGCUGGACAUGGUUGAAAGGGUUUUGCUGUUCGCAAAUUAAAAGCGGUACGUGAACUGGGUUUAAAACGUUGUGAAACAGUUUAGUCCCUAUCUGGUUUUAGCCAAAUAAAAAAGAUUUUGAACUAAGUACGAGAGGAACCAGAAACAUUAAUCUCUACUCAUGCAGUUGUUUUACUAGAAGCAUCGCUGUUUUGGGCACAUUGGAGUUGAGUAAUAUUGAAAGCAUAUUAAGUAUGAAACAACCCUUUUUUUAUUUACAUAAAUUAAAGAACGAUAAUUCUUUACUCAUUAAAUGAACAUAACUGGCCGUAAGGUUACCUGUGUUAUUAAAUUAAUUAAAUUUAUUUAUUUA
rnacentral:rRNA from 1 species